rnacentral:lncRNA from 1 species
AAAACUCAAAGUAUGCAAAUCCAAAACAAAACUUUUACAUCCAAGUUUAAAUAUUACCAAUGUAAAGAUUAAAUAAAGCACCUUAAGUGUUAUUCAUUCUGACUAGAUAAGUAUAUCAAACUUUGAUUGUACAAAAAGAAACAUAUAAAAAACAAGAUUAACUGUGAGGUAAUACUCACAAAAGUAUACCCCCGCUAACGAUAUCAUUAUAGGAAUCCGCAAGUCCAUAAACAGGAAGUAGAAGAGCGACAGACCUGAAAACCACUUACACGGUACAGCAUCCCAACCUGAUGCUUGAUACCAAAUAUCUAAUAGCUGUGAUACAUAGUAGUUGAGAAAAGUGUUACGAAAAUUUUUCAUUAUACCCCUAUGUCUUAAUAUAUGUACUAAGUCC